GCCGACGUAGCUCAGCAGGUAGAGCAAUCGAUUCGUAAUCGAUAGGUCGGGGGUUCAAUUCCCUCCGUCGGCACCA
rnacentral:tRNA from 1 species